AGGGUGAAGCGGGCAGCCAUGGCGCGGGCGGGCCUUCAAGGCUCCGAGAGUCCCCUCAGAACUCUGGGCGCCCCCUCAGGGCGGCGAGAGUCCCCUCAGAGCUCUGGGCGCCCCCUCAGGGCGGCAAGAGGCCCCUCAGAACUCUGGGCGUCCCCUCAGGGCGGCGAGAGGCCCCUCAGAACUCUGGGCGUCCCUUCAAGGCUCCGAGAGUCCCCUCAGAGCUCUGGGCGCCCCCUCAGGGCGGCGAGAGGCCCCUCAGAACUCUGGGCGUCCCUUCAGGGCGGCGAGAGGCCCCUCAGAGCUCCGGGAGACUCCUCAGAGCUCCGAGAGUCCCCUCACGGCGGCUGAGGUAGGCUGGUGGUGCCGUUCUGAACCCCAGCCCCGCCGGGCUAGCUGCGGCCUGGGUGGGUGGGUCGCCUUGGGAAAACCCUGCGUUGGGAGCUCUGUAAGUCUUGGUCCAGUUCCGAGAAGAAAAUCGUCCCGCCUUGAAUUGCAACCGCUAGUUUAUUUAGGGCAAGUCGAAGUAGUGAUGUUGAGGUAGACGGUUAUUAAAAAUGUUGUCAGAGUGUAAGUUGGGGCUUCUUCAAGCACUGAAACCUUUGACCGCUUCCAAGGAGGCGUGUAGAAAGAUCUGAGGGGUUUUAUCCUUUUUAGGAAUCCUGUUCUGCUGCCUCAAAUGAGAAUGAAGUAGGAGAAGCUCAGAUCAGAAUGUGCGUGACUGCUUCAGACCUGCAGCAGUAGCUGCCCUGGUCCCUCUGCCCCUUCGCACAAUGUGGUCAGAUCCAGUGCUGGAAAUGGUGAGAGAAGAGGGGAGAAAAGGCCAGAAAAGGAGAGCUGAAAAUUGACCCGAUUUAAAACUCACUGUAACUUCAACUGAAUUAAGUGUUAAAAUGUAACUCUUGUUUUUCAAUAAAAUGGUAAAAAAUAUGUCAAA